UAAACUUAAGCUUUGAAGAAGCUUUUCAUUUACACUGAAAGGAGGUUUUUAUAAACAAGUUUAA
rnacentral:tRNA from 1 species